rnacentral:lncRNA from 1 species
AUAUAUUUGUUUAAAUUAUUUGGAGAUUUUCAAAAUAUAACUCAUAAAUUAAUAAAUGAUUAAUGAAAUUAUCAAUACUACCUUAUGACCAAACAAAAACUAGAACGUCCUUUCACGAUUUUAUCCUUAUGAAAUCCACUAUUAAUAAAAGAAUCUACUAGAGAUGAGCUAGUGAUUGGUGAUGGAUGUGAGUGCUCUACACAUCUACAGUUAUUUCUACAUCAAUAAAAUCAAAACAAUUAAGCUUUAUUAAAAAAAUUAAAGUUACAGCAAAAAAUGUUAAAAAUAAAAUAUAUUGGAUGUAGAAAUCAAUUUUUUUCUGGAGCUUUAUAUUUAGUGCUUUUAAUUCUCUGAAAUAAUUUUACAAAAAUAAAAUCUAAAGUUACAAAAUCUACAACUUAAAUUUGAUAGCAAAAAAUUCAAAGCUACAGAUGCUGCCAAUCAUUCCCAUUAUCUAUAACUUGACCAAAC